UGGGCGUGGCCCCCUGAGUGACAGGUUGGUUCUGGGGCCCGGUAGGGACAGGGACAUCUCAGAAGGACUCCCUGGAGAGCCCCUCUCCCCUCUCAUCCACACUCAGACCAGAGGACCCUCCGCCUACCUCGCCCUCGCCAUGAGCCCCGGCCUCCUGGGCUGUGUGGUCUUCUGUCUCCUGCAGGCAGGGGCGGUCCACGCUGGUGUCACUCAGGACCCCAGGUUCCAGGUCGUGAGGACAGGACAGACCGCCACACUUAAUUGUACUCAGGAUAUGAACCAUGAUAAUAUGUACUGGUACCGACAAGACCCAGGACUGGGGCUGAGGCUGAUCCAUUACUCAGCUGCGACUCCCUACACGGCGAAAGGAGACGUGCCAGACGGGUACAGCGUCUCCAGACCAAACACAGAGAACUUCCCUCUCACGCUGAAGUCUGCCAACCGCUCCCAGACAUCUGUGUACUUCUGUGCCAGCAGUUACUCCACGGCGCUGCACGACCACCUCCUCUCUGUGCAAAAAGACAGAUGA